GGUAGGGUGUCCGAGCGGCUGAAGGAACUGGUCUUGAAAACCAGCGUACCCGAAAGGGUACCGUGGGUUCGAAUCCCACCCCUACCG
rnacentral:tRNA from 1 species